GGAGAGGUGUCCGAGUGGUUUAAGGAGCUAGUCUUGAAAACUAGUGAUUCCGAAAGGGACCGUGGGUUCGAAUCCCACCUUCUCCGUCA
rnacentral:tRNA from 1 species